UCUAUAAAUUGAAGUGUAUAACUUCCUUUCUCUCUCUCUCUUUCUGUUUCCAUUUCUGGUGAGCGCAAAUCACAGGCGAGGCUGCGACUUCAUCUUGAUCGAGACAGUUGCGUCUCCGGGUUCCUUUCAUUUUUUCGGCGACUUCAGCUUCCUUCUCUAGGCAGCGUCGCUCGGUUCCCCUGUCUCCCUCUCUUCCUGUUCCUGCUGGUACAGCAGUCGGGUGAAGCUGCAUGCGGUUUUCGAUCGGGUCAGUUGCGAUCCAGCUCUCCUUUCUUGCUUUUCCGGCAAGACCAACCAACUCCGGCCAUCAUCGACCUUUCCCCUCGUCACUAUCCCUUUUCCGAUUGCUUUCCUUCCCAUUUUCCGGUUUGGUUGUGGCGCAGCAGCGAGAAAGAGAGAGCAAGAGCGAGAGCUGCUUUUUUUUUUCGAUGUUCUAACCGGAAAAUUUUAAUUCCUUGUUCAUUUUACAAAUUGUGGGUUACCAUGGGUUUGUGAGGAUGGUCUUCGAUACUGUCGGCCAUGUAUGGGGAGAUCGGCACUCUCGUGUGCAUCUGAUGAUAUAUGAUGUGGAAAACCACAGGGUGGCCGCCUGUUGAUAUGGAAAAGAAAAAAGAGUAUAAAAUAACGAGAGGGCUGGUCAAGUAAGGAUUAGACCAGUCGGCCAUAUAUGAGAAAUCGGCUCCCUGGUGCACACGUCAUGAGAGGAUGGGCCAUGUGCGAGGACGACUCAUCAGGAGUCCCCGUGACAACACAGACUAAUCUCCAUUUGUUUGAUUAUGUGAAGGUGUACUUCUAUGUGGGUGUUGAUGUUGCGCCAUAUGUUUGAUUGGACGAGUGUUCAUUUUAGUAUUUUAGGAAGCAUUUCACGUGGAUGCCUGUGUUAUGCAAUAAUUAUUAUUCAUUAUUAAAUUCACAUUUCUUUUGUUUAACUUUUCAGGAAGUAGAUUUUUCUUUGUCCCGGUUAAAGCUCUGUUUCCUUCACCGCAGAGCUAGAAAAGAAAUUUUCUAAUUCCAGUGAUUAUUUAUUUAAAUUGAGACCGUUAUAUAUAAGAACUUAUUUAUUUGUAUUUGAUAUUGAACUCAGCAGUUGUAGGAUUGUGAAAACCUCUAUUAUAGGAGUAUGAUUAUUUCAAUUUUGUAUGAGUGAGAUCAUGUUAAGCAAUAACUUUAGAUUGAUGAUUUA